CCUACGGGGGGCAGCAGUGGGGAACAUUGCACAAUGGGCGCAAGCCUGAUGCAGCCAUGCCGCGUGUGUGAAGAAGGCCUUCGGGUUGUAAAGCACUUUCAGCGGGGAGGAAGGCGGUGAGGUUAAUAACCUCAUCGAUUGACGUUACCCGCAGAAGAAGCACCGGCUAACUCCGUGCCAGCAGCCGCGGUAAUACGGAGGGUGCAAGCGUUAAUCGGAAUUACUGGGCGUAAAGCGCACGCAGGCGGGCUGUCAAGUCGGAUGUGAAAUCCCCGGGCUCAACCUGGGCACUGCAUUCGAAACUGGCAGGCUAGAGUCUUGUAGAGGGGGGUAGAAUUCCAGGUGUAGCGGUGAAAUGCGUAGAGAUCUGGAGGAAUACCGGUGGCGAAGGCGGCCCCCUGGACAAAGACUGACGCUCAGGUGCGAAAGCGUGGGGAGCAAACAGGAUUAGAUACCCGAGUAGUC
rnacentral:rRNA from 1 species